AACCGAUUUUGAAGGAUAUCGCAUAUUUAAUCUACGUACAAAUUUUUUUGAGGUAAGUAUGCAUGUAUUAUUUGAUGAUCUUGAUAUACAUAAGAUAGAUGAUGAAGAAGAACAAUCUGAGCAACAAUAGUAGAUUGUUCCUAAAAAAAACGAGAUCGCUAAACAAUCUCCAUUUCAAACUCCUCCAAGAAGCUGAAAAAUCAUAGGAGAUCAUCCACAAAAUCAAAUUAUAGGUAAUACAAUGUAUGGAAUCAGAG
rnacentral:lncRNA from 1 species